rnacentral:rRNA from 1 species
ACGCUCGACACCUACAGGAGGCAGCAGUGGGGAAUAUUGCACAAUGGGGGAAACCCUGAUGCAGCGACGCCGCGUGGAGGAAGAAGGUCUUCGGAUUGUAAACUCCUGUUGUUGGGGAAAAAGAGGAUGGUACCCAACAAGGAAGUGACGGCUAACUACGUGCCAGCAGCCGGUAAUCUGAGCGGGCUGGCAAGGC